UACGUAGGGACCAAGCGUUGUUCGGAUUUACUGGGCGUAAAGGGCGCGUAGGCGGCUUGACAAGUCACUUGUGAAAUCUCCGGGCUUAACUCGGAACGGCCAAGUGAAACUGUCAUGCUAGAGUGCAGAAGGGCAAUCGGAAUUCUUGGUGUAGCGGUGAAAUGCGUAGAUAUCAAGAGGAACACCUGAGGUGAAGACGGUUGCUGGCUGACACGUGACGCUGAGGCGCGAAAGCCAGGGAGCAAACGGG
rnacentral:rRNA from 1 species